rfam:Aedes aegypti strain Liverpool supercont1.306 genomic scaffold, whole genome shotgun sequence.
UCCUCGAUAGUAUAGUGGUCAGUAUCCCAGCCUGUCACGCGGGAGACCGGGGUUCAAUUCCCCGUCGGGGAG